CUUGGCGACCAUAGCACUUUGGACCCACCUGAUUUCCAUUCCGAACUCAGAAGUGAAACGAAG
rnacentral:rRNA from 1 species